GGCCACAUGCUCCGAGAAACUGCUCACUUUAUGACAUCAUACAGAGACGGAACUCUUAAAGUGGGUAAAGGAGAAGGAAAGUUUUCUGGCACGUCUCAGACUUGACAAAGAAAAGUACAUUUUACGGGAACAGUAAACCAUUACCGGUGCUCUGCUUUUACGUUUACCAUCGGAAAUGAUUGUAGUUAUUUAAAUGAGGAGUUCUAUAAAAAUCUGAAGAAAUGUGCUGCCCCGCUCAUUAAAUGUAAAGAAAAUUUGAUAAAAAACGGACCUUUUCACGGUUGCCUAUGGUACUAGGUGUUACACAAAUUGGGCUGGUACUGAUAAUGACGAGCAUUGUUCUGUGGCUGAAGCAUGUGCCUCAGUGUAUCUGAGUGUCCGAACUAUGCAGAUAGAAUCACGACUGAAGUAUCCCAUUGCCUCAGGGUGGUUGAGUAUCGCAUGAUUUUAUUAAAACGGGGUUUUAACCGUACAUAGGUCCCCACCUUUAGUAAUGCGAAAAGGAAGGACGUGUUUUCUUCGUCCUUGUCCUAAUGAAUUCAAGUCAGAUUCAGCCAGAUAAGGACCUCCCUUCAGCCUUGGUGUGAGAAAGGAGACAACCAGUUCCGUCCUGAAUGUGCAGGACAACACCUGGAAACAACACGUUUCCCAACACGUUGGGGCGUCUGCACUGAAUUAUUCUGUUACUCAACUCCUGUAACUGAAGAGGAUUUCAGCAGAACAUGGCCAGGGCAGCCACAGCUGAGAGAUCUCUGGACAGAGUGAACCAAACAAGAUGAUGAGAGAACCAUUAAAGAACUGUGAUCUUAAGAUUGUGUGUGUUGAAGUAUGCUUACAGUCUGAGUCAAAAAAUUUUCAACAUCAGUAAAGAAGAUUAUGAAGGAAGGAGAAGCACAUAUGAUAUAUUUUAGAGGAUCAAAGUGGAUGAGCAGCCAAGAACCGCUCAAAGCAGUUCCUCUCAGACAACACAGCUUUCCAGCUGAGCCCCUCAGGAAUUCCACAGCAUUUCAGGCAUCUCGUGCUGCGUCAGUGGACAGUGCUCCCACGUCUCAUACAGGUGACAGCUGCCUUUGUCAGGAAACUGCAGAAACUGCUCUUUUUCUUUUACAAACAGCUGCACAGUUACUCAGAAAUAACCCUCUAGGUUAAUCAUCUAGUCUUUCUAAAAGAAGGUCACCUUCCUUUGGAAAUUUGUUUAAAAAUAACAUUAAAUAAUAACACGUAAAAGUUAAUUACAUGUAACUGACUUCCAUAAUUACUUUUUGUCAUUGCACAGUACUUUAAGCAGAGUGCUUUUAAACCCACAAUAACAUUAUCAUGUACUAUGUACACACAGCUGUGAAAAUGUCUAACAAGUUGAGAAUAUUCUACUAAAUUAAAUAUUAAUUUAUACUCUUAACAUUAUGGAUUAUGUGCCAGUAAAUGCAUUCUGACAAUCCAGAUCAAAGCCACUGAAACAUUAAAGUAAAACAUCAAAUGCUAGAUGAGUUACUGUCUCUAAUCUGCUUAAGACAGCAGACUGCACAGAUUCAACUUUGACUAAGUAACAACAUUUUCAACUGAAUACAUUUGGGCUUCCUUCAGGCCUUGUCUUGUGCUAGUGGAUAUCCUGGAGCAUUGACUUAACUCCUGUUCUUCUUUUGCUCAGUGUAAUUAGAACAGUACUUGUGUAUCCAGACAGUGGUUAUGAAAAUUGCUCUGGCUGUGCCACUACAUGCAUAAACUGGAGCAAGUUCCACUAAUUGAAAGACCUCAAUUUCUUUCAGGGAUAAGAUCAAAGUGGAAAGAAAGAGAAAAGAACAGAGUGCGUAAUAAAUUCACAGGCAUCCACCAAAGCCAGUCUUGGCUGGCUUUCGUCUGCUAUUGUUUUCACAGAGAACUCUCUUCUUGGGCACAAUACAAACACUGUUACCUAAGAAUCACUGUGAUGCAGAUGGCAUCAGUAUCCAUAUUCAAAAGAAACGUCACUAUUCCCAGAUCAAUCUGAGCAAAAGAAAUAGAAAAGAGCUUCGUGCCUCAUUAGUUGUUGUAUUGUUUUUAGCACCAAAGAAAUCAGACAAGAGGUGCUGCUCCAUCUCUACAUAAAAGCAGAACAGCGUUAAAGACAACACAUCUAAGUUUGUUAAUGUGGCUGCAUGACUGUGACCAAGAGGCAAGUUAAUUUUUCGUCUUUUUUUAUAUAGCUGGCACUGUGCCUUGGCCUAUAUAAAGGGGGGAUUUAUGUCACAGCAGAUGGUCUUACUUGCUGUCUUUUAUAAGUAGAUCUUGUAAACAAUCAGUUUAUGUAAAAACAGAACUUGUGCGUAGUACAUCAUCAGUUUUUGAUGGUCACACUGGGGGAUUAAGUGUUCACUUCUAAGAAUCUUCUCAUUAAUAUCCAUGUCAGUGCAAGAAUCUUACUGAAAAACAUCUAUGGCAUGCUGCGUCUCCAUAACCAAAUGGUUCCGAGACUUUUAUCAUCCAUGGCAGACACUGGAGAAUGCGUUACAAAUUUCUUUUCCCUUCUGUGCUUUUUAAAGAAAGCCAUGCUUCCCGGUGACAGCAGCUGUCUGUCUUUACCCAAUUCAUAAUUCGUAGGUGAGGCAACCGUGGUGACAUUUUCCAUGACCUUGUCCCCAACCAGAAGGAAGCGGAAUGAUUGCUGGGAAGUGUGUCUUUUCCAGGGAGGAGAGCGGGAUUCCAGCUUGUUGUUUCCAUGCAGAAGGAAGCCACAGCUGGGCAUCCGGAAGGGAAAGCAGAAGCCUCAGCAUAGCCUACUGCUUUUAUCCCCAGCAGGGAAGGCAAGAGCAAUCUGCAUAAAUCAACUCCUGACACGUGUGC